rnacentral:lncRNA from 1 species
GAAGGUUUGUCAGCUUUUUCUUGACGUCAACAAUGAUAAAAUGAUUUUUUUUAUAAUGUGCGUCCUUACUAGGUUUAGACUAUCCGUUACAUUGGUGCAAUGAAGCUUGAGUAUCUCUAUCAAUUUCAUAUAAUUUUUUUUUGUUGCUCGUAAUAUAUCAGCUUUUUGGUUGAUCCUGGCAUAGUGGCAUUCCUGCUGCUAAAUUUUCUUAAUAUUCAAUCCCUACAUUUAUAGAUAAUUAGCCCAUGUUUGGUUUGGGUAAAAAUUAGAUUUUAGUAGAUUUUAAUAAAAGUUGAUGAAAUGUGUGGUUGAAAAUCAGAUAAACUUGUGGGUUCCAUGAAAUGUGUGGUUGAAGAUUAUUUUGAGGAAAAAUUAGUUUUAGAAAAUGAGAGCCAAAUAGGGCCUUAGUUUCGAAUGUACGUGGGGCCUGUGCAUGUGAAUCUUUUAUAUGAAAUCCUAUGUCGUCGUAUUUGUCGUCAACUAAACUGAGAUUUAAAAUUAUUUUUAUCUGAACUCAUUUUCAAACACACAUUUUAUAGGAUCCACUACUUUUUAUCUACUUUUUACUCACACAUUUCAUCAAUUUUUAUUAAAAUUAUUAAAAUAUGAAUUUUCGCCAAACCAGAAGGAGCUGAAUCUCAUUCCCUUUUUUUAAUCAGAGUAGAUAAUAGCUGUUUUCUAAACAAAAGGGGCAAAUGACAUGUUUGGAUAUAUUACGUUUUUCUUGUAUUUAAGUUAAAGUUACUUAUUUUGAAAGUAACUCUUAUUGACUCGUUAACAUGGUGUUA